rnacentral:lncRNA from 1 species
UAUCUUUUUUUACUAUGCUUUUAAAGGUUCUUUCAUUAUUGUUCAUCCUACACAAACACCCUGCUACCCUCUGCCCCACACCACUUACCCUUCUGUAGUCCACCUAUCCUACACUUUUCCAGACAUUCUUUCUCACUUCUCAAUUUGAGUUAAGGAAGAAAUUAAAACAUUAAAUAAUACUUUUACAAUUCUAAAGCAAACAUUUCCCUCCCACUAAAAUAAUAAUAGUAAGAAUAAUAUUAAUAUUUUUAGUAAAAGCAUUGCAGUUUAAAUUUUUAUAAUAGAAUUUUCAAAGAUAAAAAUAAAUAGAGGUAAUACUAUAAUUACCCUCCAUGGAAUCAUCAUCCAACUUUAAAAAUCUAUAACAUUUUGUCAAUCUUGUUCAUUUACCCAUCCUUACUACUCUUUAGUGGCCGAUAAUGCUUGGAAGAGUGCAGUCGAAUAUGAUUUUUCCUUUAUGUGUCGUAUUUAUCCUCAUUGGUCUGGAUAUCUGCUUUUCUGAAGCACACCAAUGAGGGUGUGACCUCAGGGAUAUUCAUUCAGAUUCCAGGCCUUCUCUAGCAGAACUACACAAAGGCUAAGAAUAUGUUGUAACCAUAAAUUCUCAUUUGUAUUCCUAAUGAACAUGUUUUGAAGGACACUUUUACCAGCUAAUGUUUUUUCAAUCUUAUUCUAAACUCAUCUAUCCAACUUCCUCAUGAAAUGUUUACGCCAUAGUAUUUAAGUUCGUGGGUUGGAUGAGACAUAAUCUAGAUGACACAAAAUCUAACCAGCUAUUUACAUGAUCACAAACAAGCACUGGAAUCAGGGAAGUUACCUUAUGUUAACAUUAAAGUAGCUUGCCAGCAGAGCCCAAUAUACAAUAGCAGUGUAUCUAUUUUCUUUUCAGUAGUUGAUGGAUUUUGAAAUUUGUCCUUGGCUUCAAGGAUUAUUGUCAGAGUCCAAAGGUGAACUUAUCUAUUAUUUCCAUUAGUGUUUGGGUGAUACAUGGCAGCAGGCGUUGGGAGAAAGACAGAAUGCCUAUUGAACUCUCUGAGAUGCUGCUGAGUCUAAUGGCAUAACCUAUUUUUUUUAUUAGAAUGUAAAAAACAUACUCAUAUCCGAAUACAACAGCUAAGAAGCAGAACGCUUCUUACCGGUGCAGAUUCUUACUGAAGGGAGUGAGAGGACAGUGCGCUUUUAAAAAUACAUUGUUCUCUAAAUUAAUAAUGACUUUAUAUUCAGCUUUAAAUAAAUUAUAUUUUCAGAAUAGUCAAAACCUAUGAAGUUAGUUUCAUUUGUCCUUGAGGGUUUCCAGUUUUUAAUAAUUGGAGUUGAAUUCAUUUUGGGAUCUGUUAAUUUAAGUUCUAAUGGUCAAAUAAUUAUUACAUUGGAAAAUCAAGAGUCCUGCAUCUUCAUUAUAUUUUCACCAGUGAUUUACUCACUAACCUUGAGAAUUCACUUCAGCUCAUUUGCCAUACGUAAUCUCUCUUUUCCUGUCAAAUUUUUGUUAAUGAGGAUCAUUUCCAUAGAACUCCUAGAAGGUUUAGAAGAUAAAUGGAGUUUGGGUUGAAAUGAGAAGCAUAUUUUUUGCUGAUAAAGAUUUCUGUAGUGGCUUUGAGUAUGUACCAAAUAUCAUUUGCAUAGAAUUGCAAUGAGCUAGGUAGCCAUAUUUGUUCUCAUGGUUACUUUUCUUCAAAAAAAAAAAAAAGCUGAAGUGUUUCCUGUAUUGACUGCUUAACAUAUUGUCUGCCAGAUUUUAUCACUGUAAAGUUACCUCUUUGUCUUUUGUAAUUGAUAAAUAUCUGUGAGGAGAUACUUGGAGAUUAUAUAAAUAUAUUAUUAGUUCUUAAACUUCCCUCCAGUGGUUUUAGUACUCACUGGAGAUUCUUGCUUGAGUCAAUUGUUAUUAUGAUUACUAAAUGGUAGUUUUGUAUUUUACAAUUUCUUCUACAUUUGUUAGCUGCCUUUCUACUACAGCCCUUCUCCCAUUAUUUUGUUUGUUUAUAACAAUGUAGACUCAUUGGGUUAUUGUUUUAUUCAGUGGAUUUUAAUACUUUUCUAUUAGUUAUUUUGAUUCUAAAUUAUUUCAGUUUUGGUAAGUGGGAGUCUUUCAGAUUGGCUCCUGGGUCCUUUUGGUACAUUCCCAUGUUUCUUGUAGCACUUCUUUACUUUCUGGUACAAGAAGAUGUUGCGACCUCAUUUUGUAAUCUCCCUGCCUCAGCCCUGAAAUCGGUCAUUUAUCUAAAAAGAUGUGCUUGAUUCUAUCAAGAAAUAAUUACUUAUAGACCCUUUCACACAUUUAUAUAUUUUAAUAUCUAUUAUCUCUCUUACUCACUUCUACUAUUUUUAUCUAAAAAACAUGAGUCUACACUGAUAUCUCCAUUUCCAAUUCAUACUAGUGGGAUCAUUCUAGCUUUCUGCCUUCUCAUGUUUGUUUAUUUUUUCAUGCCUUCUCAUACUUGUAAUUCCCUUUUCCAGUGGCGAGAAACCUGGCUACCAUUAUUCAUGACAUAAUGCCUUAUUUGCUAAUCAUAGAAUACAAAGAAAAUGGUUUCAGGUUGCUCAUCCAUGUCUAUGUAAAAGAAGCCCACGAAUAAGAACUCAAUAUUUGUUUAGAAUUAUAUUUGUUUUUAGCCUAAGUGUAUAUCAUUUAAAUCCUGUAGGAAAAAGUUACCUGGGUUAAUUCUCUCUCCAAUUUAUUCAGUGUAGGUAGGUUAUUCUUUUGAAAUAUGGUUUGCUAUAUUUGUUUUUGUUUUGACUCAAUUUUAGAGUUAUUUCCCUAUCCUUUCCGAUUUUUUUUGUGUGUUUUUUCUUUCUUUUUCCUUUUUUUGAGUAUGUAAAACAUUGCCAUGGUCCCAAAAGUCAGACCUGUACAAAAAGUAUACACAGAGGAGGGUCACUGACCACCUUCUGUCAUUCCUUUCAUGCUUCCCACCUAGCCUCAUCCGCCUUCUCUAGGUAACCAAUCACAUUAGUCUUCUACUUAUCGUCCCUUUGUUGUUUUUGCCUAAAUAAUCAGAUACUUUAUUUCCUCUUCUUUCUGAAAAAAGGAGCUCUCUUCCACACUCUGCCUCAGUUCUUCCAGCUUUGCUUCAUUCCUUUGCAUAGUUGCUUAGUAUUCCAUUUCCUAGAUACACCACAGUUUGGCUAAUGAAUAGUGUUUGUUUAGACAUGUUGCUUCCAAUAUUUUAUAAUAAUAAACAAUGCUGCAAGGAAUAUAUUUGUGCACAAGUAUUUUCAAAUUGUUGGAGGUAUAGUUGACCCUUGAAAAAUGUGCAGGUUAGUGGUGCCAACCCCCAUGCACUAAAAAGUCCAUAUAUAACUUUUGAUUUCCCAGCAACUUAACUACUAAUAGCCUAUUGUUGACCAGAAGCCUUACCAAUAACAUAAGAAGUUGAUUAACAUAUAUUUUAUAUGUUAUAUGUAUUAUAUACUAUACUGCAAUAAAGCAAGCUAGAGAAAAGAAAAUUUUAUUAAGAAAAUCAUAAGAAAGAGAAAAUAUA